UCAAUCCAACUAUUAAAUUGAGCUUAAAAUAUUUGAAAAGGAAGGCAGUACACUUAACUCUUUUAUAUCCAAUUUUCAACUAUUGAUUCUUUACAAAACUCUAGAUAACACAAUUUUAAUAGCACAGCCUUUACAUGUUGACUUACAAACACCUAUGUCCUGAUUUUGUAAUUUCUUACAAACCCAACAUUCAAAUAACAUGAAUUUUUUUUUGUGUAGCUUCUCAAUAUUAUAACUAUACCUUUGGCAAGUUUGAGCUAAAAUUCAUUCAAAAAUGCUAAAAAAAUGGCUCUAAACAUAACCAUCAAUAAUUCGGUUCA
rnacentral:lncRNA from 1 species